rnacentral:rRNA from 1 species
GACAGGUGCUGCAUGGCUGUCGUCAGCUCGUGUUGUGAAAUGUUGGGUUAAGUCCCGCAACGAGCGCAACCCUUAUCCUUUGUUGCCAGCGAUUCGGUCGGGAACUCAAAGGAGACUGCCGGUGAUAAACCGGAGGAAGGUGGGGAUGACGUCAAGUCAUCAUGGCCCUUACGAGUAGGGCUACACACGUGCUACAAUGGCGCAUACAAAGAGAAGCGACCUCGCGAGAGCAAGCGGACCUCAUAAAGUGCGUCGUAGUCCGGAUCGGAGUCUGCAACUCGACUCCGUGAAGUCGGAAUCGCUAGUAAUCGUGGAUCAGAAUGCCACGGUGAAUACGUUCCCGGGCCUUGUACACACCGCCCGUCACACCAUGGGAGUGGGUUGCAAAAGAAGUAGGUAGCUUAACCUUCGGGAGGGCGCUUACCACUUUGUGAUUCAUGACUGGGGUGAAGUCGUAACAAGGUAACCGUAGGGGAACCUGCGG